rnacentral:lncRNA from 1 species
UGCCAAGACCACGGACCUGCUCUUGUGGGAGCUGCAGAAGACUUGGCUCAGCUUGCACUUCCUACAAGUGUGCCCAGAUAGGACACCGAGAGAAGAAAUGGGCACAUAGGAGGAAAAGCUGGAUCUGUGGUAGCUGUCUUCAAGAGCCUUGUUUGUUGGUUUGGAGCAGCUUUUUUGGAGUUACAAAAGCUGUUCCACUUGAGGAGCAGAUGUCUGGCAUGUCUCAGGGCUACGUUUUGCUGCAGCCAACCCAGUCACACUGUCUAGGGUGGUCUUCAGUCCCUUGAGAGACCCGCUGGAUCGGCGUUGCAUACCCACUUAUUUUUGGGUGAUGAGCUGCGGGCGCCAAUAAUAGAAAUGAGGUAUCUAAUCACUUGGUGUAGAGAGGCAAUUUGGCCACCCCACUGAUUUUUCCAAACAUUUCUGGGACUAAUCAGAAUGAAGACCAUUAACUUCAGUGGGCUUUGGAUGAUUUCCUAUAUAUGCAAAACUUGAAAAAUCAUGCUUUAAAAGAAAUACCAAAGUUAAAUUGGGAAAUUUUAACAAUUCUCUUUGUAUUUUAAUUUAGUGGCUGUAUGCUGACAAUAUAAUUAGAGAGAUGCUAUGUUAAUUAAAGCCAGAUGACAUUAGUGGAAUGGCAAAAGCAUCCAGUUUUCUAAAGAAUAGUUCACAGUUGAACUGUUCCUCUCUCCCCACCCCAUUUUUAGCAUAGAACUAUAUUCAAAAAGUCAGAGACAGCUGAAUUAAACCAAAAGUCUAACCAUUGACAAAUACCAGUAAUGUGGUGUAGCUUAGCGUGUUGCUUUCAAGCUAAGCCUGAUGUUAUUGCAGAAAAAAUACAUUAACCAUGUUUCCUUAGUGCCUACAUAUAAAAAAGAAGGAAGGUUUGCAGGACUUUGCACUAUUCUUGUGUGGUAGUGGAGUACCUAGCUGCCACUGAAGCCAAAGGAGCAGAACCUAGACUUGUGCUCUAUAUGUCCUAGCAUUUGAAAGGUAAUUUUUGGUUUAGGAUUUGUGGAUUUCUUGGGGCCCAUCAGAUAAUUUAAAAAAGAUUUGCAGGGACAAGGCAAAACACAUUCACAUUCAGUGUGAGUCCCUAUAUGCUACGUUUGCAUACUGUGUGAAUUCAUCUAUGUUAAACUUCAGUCUACACAUGUAACAUACCACCACAGGAAAUUUGAUAGGGCACAAAAAUUAAUACCCCAUGAGAACUACAGCCUUUAUCUUGUUAUAAACUCACACGUAUUUAAAAUUGCAUAUACAGAGAUACUUAUCUAUGGACGUAAA